AAAGAAUAAAACAAAAUAUUUAAGUAGGUCUAUCAGGUACAACCUGUGAGUCAGUUCUUGUCUAAUAUACAGUACUGCUAUCAUAUAUAUAUGUAGAUAUAUUGGUCACUCAGGACCUGAACUUACAUUUCCCAUACUGCUGACUCAGGGUGGACACACUACUAACUUACCAAAGUGUGUCCCCAGUAUAGACAAUCACCCAAUUGAUGGAGAAUCAUUGUUUGCAAUAAAGACAUGGACACUACAAAUGUGCUUUAACAAGAUUCUCAGUGAGUAUAUUUUCAGGGUUAGCAUAUAAAGCAAAAAGAGUUUAACUAUUUCAUAUCCUUACAGUCAGUACUAAUGAUUAUAAACCUUAUUU